rnacentral:rRNA from 1 species
UACAGAGGGUGCAAGCGUUAAUCGGAGUUACUGGGCGUAAAGGGCGCGUAGGCGGAUAAUUAAGUCAUGAGUGAAAGACCUGGGCUUAACCUAGGAACUGCUCCUGAUACUGAUAAUCUAGAGUAGGAUAGAGGGAAGUGGAAUUUCCGGUGUAGCGGUGAAAUGCGUAGAUAUCGGAAGGAACACCAGUGGCGAAGGCGGCUUCCUGGAUCCAUACUGACGCUGAGGCGCGAGAGCGUGGGGAGCAAACAGG